AGAGAGUGCGUAACCUGAAGCGGAGGUGAGUGAGGCUCCUCCGAGGUUGGAGGUUGGAGCAACGGAGGACGACGACGGAGAGAGUGAGUAACAUGAAGCGGUGGUGAGAAAGGCUCGUCCGAGGUUGGAGGAGGACGACAGAGAGAGUGAGAAACGUGAAGUGGUGGCACGUCGGAGAAGGUGAGAGUACAUAGCCAUAGUAGCUGCUGAGGUUUUUGCGUAAAAGCUUUGUUCUUAUCUCUCUGUUUUAUUUAACUCUGCUUUUCCGUCUGAAUAUGAUCUGAUAUUCCUCUCUUGGUAUUGUCGCCUUUUCUCUCUCUAUAUUCUUUUUUUUUUUUUUUAAUUCUUUCUAAAGAUUUUAUAUUCAUUUAUGAAAUUUAGAAUUUUAUGUUAUUGAGACAUUUUGGACAACAGUUGUAGAAUUUUUUUUUUUGUUAAUUUGUGAAUGAUAUAUAUGCACUCACUGUAUUCGACAUCGUACAAAAAUGCAUCAAACGCGUUUACUGUCAUCUUAUGGGUUGGAUGAUCUGUUCUUGAAACUGACGUUACACAGAUUAUAUAUCAUUUGAAUAUUUGAGAGUCUGUGAAUACUCAUAAGCAUUUAUCGUUAUGCGUUACAACAAAUGUAAUCAAAUACUCUUUUAACUCAAUUGUUGAUCACUAGUGGACUUCAUUUGUCACCAAAUAGCUAGAUGGAUCUAUGUUUCAAGUUUCAACCAACAACAAAAAAAAAUCUAAAAAUAAUUUACUUCUUAUACUGUUUCGAAAAAUAAAAACAGACUAUGAUCGUAGACUUUCUAAUGCUGAAUGAAGCCUUGUUACGUCUUAACCAGAUAGAGGAUUCAGUUUUUGCAUUCCAAGACUGGAUCAUUACCAUUCUCAACCACAAUCCCGACCUUGUAUCGGUUUUGAACAAUGUGAAGAUGGUUGUGAGUGCACGUACUAGUGGUAAUGAACUAUUUAGUCAAGAAUCUUAAAACUUAGGAUUUAAUAAUGAAGUUGCUACGUUGGAUAAGUUCAAAAACGCUGUGUCACUUACCUGUAAGUUUUCAACAGAGACUAUUAUAAUUUGUCAUGAAAGGUUGAGAUUUUGCUCAAAAGUGGAAUCAUCAACACUUUACGCCUCCCAAUAUCCAUUAGUACAUUUCUUCAUGGUAACAGUACCACCCUCCAAAAAUGUAUUUUUUAAAUAAUAUCACAGUUUCUUCUAAACUGAGAUGUCUUGCAGUAGAGGAUAGCUUGGCGUUGGCAAAGGCAGAGAGAGUAUCAAGAAAGUUCCAAACUAUAAGAACAAACUAUUACUUAUUUUGGUUCUUUCCUUCACCUUGUCUCCACUUUUACUAAUACUAUUCUUUAUUUUAGUGUUUCCUUCCACCAAACUUUCAAACGGAAUGUCUGAGAUUUCGCUUGCUCGCAAAAGAAUCACUAGUGUUACUAUUAUCAACUAUGAUUAACUAAGUGUAGUUAUAAAAUAUUUCUAUUUCAUGUAUACAUUAUAAGAUAAUCUUUUGUAUUCGCUUGUUUAAUAAUGUAAGUUGCACAUUAUUAAUUCAUCUAACCCAAUCAUAUUGGUAGGGGCUUAUUCGUCUUUCCGAAAGUCAAACACAGCGAACCUUUUUCCUUCCUGAGCGUCCAACUGUCUAUACAAUCGAGAAAUUUUACAGACGCAAGAAUUAAAGUAAUUACUCCAUGUGCGCACAGGUUUACUUUAAACCACUGGUCCAUUUGUGUUUGAUUAUGAAUUAAAGUAAUCACUCCAUGUGCGCACGUAUAUAUCACACCACGAUCAGUUUAGUUAAUUUAGUUAAAUCAUAAACUAUUCAUUUGGUCAGACGCGUCAGGAAAAAGAGUAGACGCGUUCCACAGAUUAAACAUCCAUUUUGGAAUCUAAAAUUUAAUCUUAUUUAGUGAAGCUAUAUCAGGAGCCUCUAGUUACUAGCUUCCAAAAAAUCAUUAGUUCGUUUUCCGUUUAUCAUAACAUCUUUCCAAAAAUCAAGCAGAGCAGCUAUUCAUUUUAUAGACUCAUCUCACCUUGGUGCUUCAUAUAUUAAUCUUAUACGCAAUCUGAAAAGAAAAAUAAAAAAAAAAUACAUUUUAAUCUCUUAUUAUUUUAUUCAAUAGUCCUUUUGGUUGAUUAAAUAUCAUAUCUUUAACCUUCACAUGUAAUACAUACAUAGUUGUUGUUCGAUAUUGGUCUGACUCUUGCCUUUUUAGAAUCAAAGCUUUAUAUAGAAACUAUAAUGUGCUUAUCUGCUCCGUAUCUCACUCCAGUUGGUAUAAUUCCAUAUGUGGUAUAAUAUAAAGAGAUAAAGUCAUAAAACCCUUGAAAAUAUAGAUUUAGUCCGGUCUUGAGAUGCUGUGAGCGCGCAUAUUUGUAAUCAGUAUUAUGUUAAAUUAAUUAACAAAAUAACGGACCACGAAAAGACUCGCAACCAUACGGUGCGGUGCCCACUUUUCAUGUUUAUCAGACCAAAAUAAUAUAUGAAAAAAAUUUCAUGCCAACUAAUACUUCUCUUCUUUUUCCUCUCUUGUUUGACAUGCCAACUAAUACUUCUCUUCUUUUUCCUCUCUUGUUUGAUUAUAAUACUAUUCUUUAUUUUGGUAUUUUCUUCAAAUGUCUGAGAUUUUGCUUGCAAAAUAAUCACCAGUGUUAUUAUUAUCAACUAUCAUUAACUAAGUGUAAUUUAAAAAAAUUAUAUUUCAUGAACUUAUAUAAGAAAAUCUUUGUACGUAUUCGCCUAGUUAGUAUGCAUAUUAAACUGUCAACUAUAGAAAUUUCAUAAUUUACUAAAAUAAUAAAUUGAUAGAAAAGUUGAUCUUAACAUUAUAAAACCAGUUAUUUAUCGUUUUAAGAUCAGAUUUCUUUUGAAUCAUUAAUGUCUGAGACCAUCAGAACAAAACUUGUGAAGAAAAUCAACGGUCUGGAGAAACAUACGAAUUUCUCUGACUUCUUCGCCAUGCAAAUCCAUCCAGCAACAAAGCAUAGUACUCAACAAGCUUGUCGUCUUCAGAGAGCUUGGCAGGAGCUAUACGCCUGAGUUAGCCAUCUUCUCUUCACUGUUUUUUCUUUAAAAAAUGGUCACACUCCCUUUCUUACUUGUCACAACUGUAAGCCAAAAACGGAAAGCCUCAGACGGCGCAUGUUGGUAACCGCGCGUGGAGACAAAGGGCCAAACGACGCAUGUGUCCGAGUCAGUUUUGUUGAAUUUUUAUUUUAUUUUGAAAAAAUCACACUGUUUCUAGUAUUUAAAAACUGGAAUGGAAAAAGACCAUCCUAGUACAAACUAAUCUAAUAAUAAUAACUUAUCAGCUAAUCUACACAACAAUAACUAAUUAGUAUCAAAAUCACCAAAUUUAUAUACUAAUUAGAACACUGCAACUUGCUCCACACGCACGGUAGAGGAGGAUCAGCACACUUUUUUUGUAUUGUUCUAUAGUAAAUUAUCGAGGAAUUAUUUUCCUCUCCUAGUACACACUCUAUAGUAGAGUAAGGCUUAACCAAAGAUUCGCGUUUGCUCCACACGCGUAGGGAAAAUCUUUAGACACGAACAAAGAAAAAAAAAACCUUAUUAUAUUAUCAUGGCACUCAGCAUUUGCCUUAUUGUAUUUAAUCAGAAUUUAUGAAAAAAAUAUCUAAAAAGUAUUUUUUCACACUCCUGAUCGUGGACUAUGCACAUCCAAACUUAUACAUGUUUUAUACUAUGUUUUUAAAACAAAAAAAAAAGACUUUAAAAUUUUUAUUUCUACUAUAAAGCUAAACAACAAUAUGAAAAGGAUUGAUAUUUUAUGUGUGAGAUAAACAAAUUUCCGGACCGAAAGAUUUCAAAUUAUACAGAAACGCAUUAUACUCAUAAGAAAGAUAAUAUUUUUUGCAUUUAAAAAAUUGAUUAAUAGUUAAAUAAUCAAUACUAGAUGAAAGGAGCGUACCUUUUGAGGUAAAAAGGAGUGAAAGAGAGAGAGAGUGUACGGCGACAGGAUCCACAAGAUCAUAGUAACCGUUUCUUCUCUGAAUUGUUUUUUGUUCCUAUCUUCGUUUCAUCAUCAGACCCAGACAAUAAAGUAGAGAGCAAAGAGAGUAGUAAAUUUUUAUUUAUUUAUUUUAUCAUUUCAUUUUCUUUUUAAAUUUUUGAUUUUUUUUAAUGUUUAUUGGAAAAUACAUUGUUCAAUAUUUUAGCCAUACUAAUAGUUGGGUUUUUGUUUUUAAAAAGUUUUUGAAGUAGUGAUUAUUAGAGAUUAUUAGUAAAACGAACGACUAGCCGCUUAUGAUAGAAAGUUAGACUUUCGAGACAUGUUUAGUAUUACUAUACAAAUUUGCUCCAUAUAGUGUUUAUGUUACUCGCAAAGUAGAGAGCAAAGAGAGGACAUAGGAGUAUAAUAUAUAAAAAAAAUUCUGCUUUUAAAUGUGCUCAAUAUAACAUAGUUACAAUUUUGAUGGUUUACACGCGCCGAUCGAUAGUGUUCGUGUUACAUAGUAAUACGAUCCCAUAAGAAAAUAAGAACCUCUUGUCACGUGAGACUAAAACCAUGGUGUUGUCUCACUCAUUUUAAAUGCAAUGAUUAGUAAUGUGAUUUUAAUGUUUAUUAUUAAAAGAGAUAUAGGGAAGGAACAUUUUCUUUUAUUAUUAUCGUAUGAUCUUGUGAGUGUAUUAUGUGAUUAAUUUGAUUUGAGGAGACUAUGAUUGAUCUGUUUGAUUGGAGAUCAAGUGACUGUAGCCUUAUAUAAAUUAUACUAUUAUAUAGUUUUAUAUUUAGACAGAAACCAAAAGAAAAAGAACUCUGGUCAAAAUAAUAUCUUAUUAUAUUAUCAUGGGACUUAGCAUUUGCCUGUUUUUUUAUUUAAUCAGAAUUUAUAAAAAGUUAUCUAAAAAAAAAAAGAAUCCUUAUUGUUUUCUCUGACUCUCUCGCACAUUUUUUUGUUCCUGUUUUUGUAAUGGCAUACUCUCUUUGUGAUCUUACAAAUCCAUAAAUUAAUUGGUAACAGACAAAAACGAAACAGGCCAUAUGGUGGUGAUCAUUUGCAUAGUAUCUGUAAUUCUUAAUUUUUAUUGGCAACCGUGCAUGUAAGGAAACGAGCAUUUUUGAUUUUAGAAGUGCAUUUUUUAUUUGUUUUAAAAAAGUUGGUUACCAAAUGUCGACUCCCUGCUUCGGGAUUGAAAGAUCACUAAAGUUAUUAUUAUGUGGGUCCCCGAUGUCGGAACAGAAAACAACACACAACUUUUUUUUGUCCCAAAGCUAGUAAUUUUCGUCUCCUCUCUAUUCCGUACACUGUCUCUCUCUCUCUCUCCGCGAAAGAAAAAAGUGGUCCACAUUAUAUAUAAACUCACUCCCUCUCUUUCAUUCUUCUCCUUCUUCUUCAUCCGCUUCAUCUGAAACUUUUUCUUUUAUCUCUCUCAAACAUGGCGUUUUCUUUACUCUCCUCUCUCUCGCGAUCCAGAAUGGGAUUUGUUAGGGUACUACCAGCAGUGAAGAAGCUUUUGGGUGCAACAAGUGUAGCCAUGACCACCACCACCGCACAGAAGCGAGUUUUUACGUCUGGUGGGUCGUCUUUGUCCUUGUGGCGCGUCUUAAGGCCGUGGGAAACUAAUCUGCAGGUCCUUUUUUGGCUCUUUAAGCUGUCUAUAUUAUAUAACUCCUCUGUUUUAGCUUGGAUUAUUAUAUAUAUAUAUAUAUAUAUAUGCUAUUUACUAAUUAUGGAUUUAAUAUUGCUUGUCAUCGUUUUAGUAAUCACAUUUCUUGUCUAAAAAAAACUCAAUGAUGAUAAAAGAAAAACAUCGACAAUGACUCAUACUCUAAUAUAAUAUUCUAAUAAGAGAUCUGUAUUUAGAAUAUGACUUGCGCUUCCUUUCACAGGCAAAGAGAACUGACGCCAAUGUCUUGCAACUGCUCUGGAAGGUAAUUAAUAUAUCUUCUCGCCAAAUAUGUAACUUUAAACUUAAAUUCUAUUUCACCUACAUGUGUAUGCUUGUUGUUAAUAUAUGAUAGCUAAUAGCGUUUUAAAAAUUAUUGUGUGGUAAUAUCUCGUAGGCAUGUCUUACGGGAGCUGGUCCUGAUGGAAAGCACACAGCUACUGAGUCCACAAAGCUUGUACCCACAAGGUACGUACUUUGAUUUCCUUUCCUUGAAUGUUGCUUUAGUUGUUCUGUUUCAUGAUGACAAGUUAUUACAGGUUUGCUCCCAUGGAUCUUUGCAUCAAUCCCCGUACUCUGCACUUUGGCGGCUCUAAGCUUCUUACUCGAGUGUCUCCCUAUCGCCUCUUCACAUCAACUCCCGGAGGAGGUGGUGGAGAUGCUCCUCCUCCUCUUUCAAGAAAAGAGAGAAAGGCUGCUGAAGAAGAGGAGCACUGGAAGAGAUUGUUGGACAUAGAAGCAGCAAAGGAAGCUGUUGAAGACAAAUAUGCUGUCUUCAAGAUUCUGUACGUCAUGACUGAUUUGUCUAACCGUGAGGCAGCACAAGUUACUUCCGGCGACCUGGCAAGACAAAUCCACGCCCUGGCACUAACCUCAGGUAUUUUGGUCUUUUACGGAUCUGCAUCCCUCAAAGUGAGGAUCGGUGUCCCCAAACUAUACCGGUUUUGGAUUAAAGAGGCAAUUGCAAAGGACCCUCGCUCAGUUCCAACCCCCAACUUUGAGAAACACUUCAAGAGUACCGACCCACGAAAAUACUAGCUAGCUUUAAGGUAUAUUUCAAUUCUUGUUUCAUUCAAUCCAAAUUUUAUAUAGAUUUUUUUUUUUUUUUUUUUUUGUCUGAUUUUUCCAUCCAACCAAAUUUUUUUUAAAUUUUUUUUUUUUUUUUUUUGAGUCUGAUUUUUCCAUCCAUGUCUCAUUGAUCAGGUAAGCAAAAGAAGAAGAAGAAUGUCAGUCAGUUAGAUGGAAGAGAUUUUAAUUUUGUCAGUUUGAAACAUUUUAGUUCAUGGACUACUUUUAAGCUCAACAAUGCUUUCGGAUACAGUGUGUUUAGUUUCUUGUUGCUUUAUAAGGAUUUGCUUAUUUUCUCAGUUAUCUUUGUGCAUUGAUCACAAGUCUCUCUAGAAUGCUUAGGAUAAUAACCUAUAGACUUUUUGUAAACAACAUGAACAUAUUUCUUCAUGCAUAGGAACUCUCAUCCCGAACCCACGUUUCAGCUUAUCAACCCUGAGACCAUGUAGCAAUAUCAAACUCACAUACAUCAACUUUAAAGUCAAGGCAAAAGAGAUUUUACAAGAUUGAAGGACCUCGAGUACCAGCUGCCAUUUUCACCAAACGUUCAGCUACCAAAACAUCACUUUCAUGAAGCUAUUUUUUCACCAUACUCGCAAAUCCACCCUUCCUGCUCCUUACAUCCUCUUCUCUACAGAGUCUUGAGACACUCCUUUGUUUUGAGAGUAGUAGUCACUAACGUCCAUCCUCAAUUAGAACUGUCUUGCUCAAUGUCACCCUGUUCUGAUCGAGAGUUUCUUCUUCUUCUUCUUCCUCUCUUGCUGAAGCAGGAUCAGUUGAGAGAAUGAGUUUCUUAUUAUCAGAAAAGGAGAAAUCAAUCAAACAAGAGCACGCUCCACAGGCGCAGUCUCGGUUGCUUUCUCGUAGCAGAAUCUGUUUUGUCUGGCAGUUUCAGAAUCCUUUUACAGUUUAAUUAAAAAUGGUACACCACCAGCUACAGGGUAUAGACUAGGCGAGCUAUUGUUAUAACUUAUAACGACAUGGAGCUGUCCAUGGCUAUUUUCAGCCUCGAUAUUGUUUUAAAACCGUGUGUGGCUGAUUAAUGUAGUUUAGCAAAACACAUUCUUACUUAUGCUAAUCUACAAUGGAAUUUCUUAAAAAAAGUUUCUUCAAAUUAAGAUUACGGGAAUGUUUGUAUGCCUGGAGGAUUCCGGUCGAGAUAGAAAGAUAUUGGCUUAUGUAAUACCAUGUCGUUCUCGCCAAAGCGAAGAGAAUUUGUAACGAGAUGAUUUUUUUUUUAACUUAUAUAAAAAGCAAAAUUUUCGCCUCCUGAAUUUCACAUUGCAAGAAAAAAAGAGAAUAUAUGUAAAGGCCAAAUAAUUAUGCCCUCAUCGUAUGGAUUAAACAUCUUUUAUUUUGAAGCAGAGGGUUGGAGUAAAACAUAAAAAGUUUUUAAAAUUUUGCUAAAAAAAAAAACAGGUUUUGAAUGUAAACAAAAUAAUCAGCUCUUCAUUAAGAUAGAGACAAGCCUUAGAUUUGCAUCGACCAUCAUGUUAGCAGUUUCCAAAGCAUCAUCGAGUCUCCCAGCCUUUAGAUAGGCGUUGAUCAUUUCUUGGAAUGUGGAUACUUUGUAAGCAGAUGGAUCAUGCUUGUUCAACAAUCCAGCCAAGAUCAACUUUGCGUGUGACAAAGUAUUCCCAUCUUGGCAACACCUAGAGAUGACGUUGGAGAAAGGAGCAUGAUUGAAUUUGCACGUUGUAAUGAAAUCUUCUAUCUUUCUCACUUUUUGCAGUGUGUCGAUGGCUUCAUUUGUCAUCCGGAGUUGGUAACGAAAAAACUGAUUCAUCAUAAAACGUAUAUGCUCUGAGUGGUCAGUGAAACGAAGAUUUUUGACCAGGGACCAAGCUUCGGUUUCCUUACCGUACUUAGACAAGAGUUGGAAGAGUGGUCUUAUGGAAGCAUCUUCAAUCUUUUCUGAUACCAAACAAGUGUAAAUCUCCAUUGCUUUCUCAUCCUCACCUUUACUGAAAUAAUACUCAAUGAGAGAAACCGUUACCGCGGUUUUGGUUACCGUUGGAUAACCAACGUUGUUACUACUAAUAACCUCCUCACAACAAAGUGCCCAGGCUUUGUCAAAAUCACUCUGAUCCAAGAAUACAGAGUCGUACUUGUCCGGAUUAUUCAGAGAGAAGAUAUCUUUAACCAGAUCCAGAGCUUCAUCAAUCUUCCCGGAAAGGAACAAAGCUUUGGUCAAGAUACGGUACGUUUGGUAAUCAAGAGGAGCAUCAUCAUGGUGAUGGAGUUGAAGAGCUACAUGGGCAUGGCCGUCGUCGCAAAGAGCUUUGACGAUGUGGUUGCAACAAUCAACGCUGAGACUGAUGUUGGAUUGGUUGAAAAAGUAAUGGAAGAGAUGAUAGGCGUCCAUGUAACGCUUGGCCUCGCACAAGGCUGCGAUUAUAAGGUCACAAGUAGCGGUUGUUGUUUCGGUGCGAGUAGUGGUGAAAGCGGUGAAGCGUGCGUACUCCACGGCGGUGUCGAGAUCAGAGAGAUUCUGGAUCAACAACUUAACCGUUGAGUAUAGAUGGCUCUCAUCGUAAUAUUGAUUCUUGGGCGGCGAGAUGAUGACAUCUCCUCCUCCUCCUAGGAUGAUGGGGUAAGGAGGAGGGUUUGAGACAAGACACUUGUUUAAUUCCAAACGUUUGGCUUCUGCUUCAUAUUUCGCGUAGGAAAUGAGAUUCCUUUUCUCCCUAGCUCUCGACUGAAGGUUGAGGCAAUUGAGGCCAUAAUAGAGUUUGGGAUCACGGUCACGGAUACUAAAUUUAAAGAUGAGGCUUAAGAGCUCUCUGUAACGUUUGGCAUCAUAUAAGGCUGUGACUACAAGCUCACAUAUAGCGCUUCUGGUUGCCCUGCGACUUUUUACAACAAAAGGAGAGCGUGCGUACUCCACAGCCUUAUCUAGUUCUGAGCUACCUAUCAAGGAUCUCACCCUCCUGUAUACACUCUUCUCAUCUUCACAUUGGGAGGAGAAGUGACGACUUAAAAGAGAAGGAGACUUUGGGAGAGUGCGGUGCCGGAGUAACAUCAUCAUCAUCUUGGAGAAGCAGAGGCCUCUUAGAACUGUUACGCAAUAUACUCUUGUUUUAAUUUCAUUUAUAAAUCCCAUGCAUGCAUGGAAAGACGUCUGCGAAAAUAUAUCCCUAUAUUUUGACAUUACGACUUUGCUUCAAACAAAGGUAACAAUAUAUUUAUUUAGAAUAUAUUUUAGAUUCCUGCCGAUUCGCAACUUUGUUUCCACUCCAAAUCAAGUCUUUUAAAGUUGAACCGAAAACAAGGUUCGACCAUGAUGUAGCCGGAUUCAAUCUUAUUACUGGUUUAACUAUGAACCAGUCAUGUAACCAGAUUAAAUUACAACAAUAUUAAACUGAAUAAAUCAUUAAAAUAUACUCUAUUCGAGAUGAUAUGGAGGGAAAGGAAUGACAGGAAUCAUCUCAAGAAGCCAAGACAAGCAUAGCCAAUUGGCUAAGAUUAUUGACAAGACAAUUCGCGAUCCAAUCAUGGCCACAAGAUAUUGGGGGAAACCGCGUUUGAGAAGUCUUAUGCAAGACUGGUUUAUAGCUCAUACUUAAAUCAGAUUUUUUCUUACAUAAUUUCUUAUGCAUUUCUUUUAUUGAUGAUUAAUAAAUUUAACAUUUCAUCAAAAAAAAUUUAAGAAAGUUUUUUUUAAUAUCAAGAUUAUUAAUUAUAUUCCUUACUCUCUCUCUCUCUCUCUCUAGUAUAAUAUCUUCUUAUUUUUUCCCUCUUUAGUAUAAUAAAUUUCCGAUUAUAUUGUAAAAUAUAUCAAUGAUUAAAAAUGAAUUUUUAUGAUAUUAUCUCAUUCCUUUUUUUUUGGUUGGUAAAGGAAGGAAAAUAUAUUAUUGAACUAUCGAUCCUUGAGUUUGCUUCUAUUCCAAGGUAAUAUAAUAUUUCCCCAUAACAUCAAAUUAUUGAAAUAGGAAAUGGUUAUAAAUCAAAUCUUUCUAUAAGAGAUAAGGACAUAUCUUUGAGCUAAAUAUAAUAUAAUUAUCGAUAUACAUAAUACAUAAACCCUAGGACUCUAAUCAUAUCGUUGUAUAAGUAGCGCAGUACAAACACACACAGUUCAUCAGAACGAAUACAAAUCUUUGAAAACGAUACCUCUGGAGCGAUGUCCCUAACCCGCCGCAUUAACCUUGUGGUUGGCCUCUCAAAGUCUCUACAAUUCUCAAAUCGUCGUCACAUGUCCACCGGCGUGGCCUCAGCUACCGUGGCACGCUACCCGCUUGGAAAAGACCUCUCCUGGCUUCCCAGGAACCCGACGUCCGAGGAUGUAAACCGGGCGGCGGAUCUCGUAAAGGGGCGUCCGGUUUCUCUGCUAUACAGAGUCUUGACGAUGAUUGAGCUUUCAGAUGUCGACGGAGCCGUUGAGUUGGCUCGUCUCUGUGUCUUGAAAGACGAUAGUCGUCGCCACGACACCAUCCUCAUAUGCAACGCCGUCAUCGGGGCCAUGUGCCAAGCGAAACGUUUCGAACAAGGCAUCGGUCUGUUCCAUUACUUCUUCAACGAGAAUAACAUCGUCCCUAACAUCGCCUCGUUCAACUACGUGAUCAAAGCCUUUUGUGAGCUAGGCCGUGUCGACGACGCCCUUCAACUCUACCGUCACGCUGCUCGGUUCGGUCCCGACAAAGAGACAUUCAGUCUUUUGACUCAAGCCUUGGUCCACGCCUAUGGCUACGAGGAAGCUGGAAUAUUCGUGGGAUUAAGUAGAUGCUUAACUACGGCGGAUGAUUGGACGCCCAUGCUCAUUGAGAUUCGUGGGCGCUUGGAUCAGAUGAAUGCUGAAGAUGCUGAUGAUUACUUUCACACGAAUAGGCUGAAGUUCGAUGAUGAUGAUGAUGAUGGAGUUUUCAAAUCGAUUGCUACGAUAUUUGUGGAAUAUUGGCUCAAACAUGGCAAUGAAGAGAAAGCAAUGGAGUGCUAUAGCACUAUCCGUACUUGGGAAAGCUUGCCUGCCACCACCGGGAACACCCUUUUAAGGAUUUUGCUAGAAAAUUGCAAGAGAACUGAGGCUGGGGCCUUGAUCGAAGUAAAUGCUAAGGACUUGUACCACAACAUGUUGAAAAAACACAAACGUUUUGAUUCAGAGACCAUUAACAUAAUGGUGGACUACUGGUUCGAUAUUGGCGAGGUUAACAAGGCCAUGGAGACAUUCAACGAGUCACAACAGGGAAGAAAGAGGAUGGUUCGGUGUUAUUGUAACGUGGUCGCUAGGCUUUGCGAGCGUGGGAUGAUGUCGGAGGCUGAAGGUUUGUUUGAGGACAUGUGUUCAGACAAAGACUUGUCUCCUCCUGAUGUGUCUACAUUCAGAUCCAUGGUCAAUGGAUAUGUUCGCGCUGGAAGAGUUGAUGAUGCCAUCAAAACCUCGAACAAAUUAGCAAUUUUGAAACUGCGCAAGGUUUCUAUUUAUGAGGACUGAUGUUAAUUUACUUCCCUUAUUAAGAGUUACUACUUGUCGCUGUAUCGUUUUGCUUUUUACCUUGCUGUAGUUUGCGUUGACUAUUGCUCUCAUCAUGCUCAUUGCACCUUCGUGGUUGUCAAAAACCCAAGCUCAAGCCCUAGAGUUAAACAUUUACUUAAAAUAAUAAUAAUAAAAAAUAAUAACAUUUACUGAUCAGACGUUAAGAGGAAUGACCGUAGAUUUGUAACUUAUAAAGUUAUAAAACAUGUUUUUUUUUUCUUUAUAAAACAUGUUUUUACAUCAGUAUUGCCACAACAUUUACUCACCAAAGUGUUAGUAGUUUAGUAGUAGUGAUAAGAAUUUAGUUUUAUUGCCUUGGGUUCCAAUCGUUUUGGGGACGAAUGAUUAUUUUUUAAAUCUGAAUUUUAAAGUUUAAUUUCAGAUCUACGAGAAAAUAUAGAUUUAGAGCUAAGAAUUUUCCUGGUAAUAAAAAACAUUUACGGUCAUUUUAUAAUAGAAAGAAAAUAACAAACUUGUCAUAGUAGAUCUAUCUUUCCUUUUUUUUUCUUUUUUUUUCUGAUUUUCCUUUACAAUAGAGAGAAAAUAUAGAUGUUCUAUUUUUUUAUCAGUUAAUUUAAUAAAACUUCAUAUGCUCCUUAAAUCAAUGAACAAAUCACAAUAAAACCGUUAUUUUAGAGAAACGAAGACAAAAAAUAUGUUAAACCUCUCUAAACCUCUCUGACCAUAGUUGUAUAUUAGUUCAUGAUAUAAAUAUGCAUUAAAAAAAUAUAGUCAGAUUUUUUGAAUUUUUCUCAAAAUCUAUGUGUUAACCCCUACAAAAUAUUCAGUUUUUCGAUAAACGGUUAAUAUACUUAAGCUGAUAAUCUUUAGUUUUUUUUAAAAAAAAUUUCUAACCACAUUUUACAUUUGUAUUAAUGUAUUCUAAACUCUAUUACAUGUUACAUGGGCAUCGUCUAUUUUUUAUCAGUUAAUUUAGUAAAACUUCAUAUGCUCCCUAAAUCAGUGGAUAAAUCACAAUAAAAUUCCUAUUAUAGAGAAACGGAGACAACAAAAGUUCCAAAACUCUCUGACCAUAAUCAUAUGUUAGUUCUUGAUACAACUAUGCAUUAAAAAAAUAUUGUAAUAUUUUUUGAAUUUUUUUCUCAAAAUCUCUGUGUUAACCCUUACAAAAUAUUCAGUUUUUCGAUAAAUGGUUAAUAUACUGAAGCCUAUAAUAUUUAGCGUUGUUUUAAAAUUUCUAACCAAAUACUUUAUUUUUAUUAAUGUAUUAAUGUAUUCUACAUUCUCUUUCAAGGUACAUGGGCAUCAUUAUAUUUUUUUUAUCAGUUAAUUUAAUAUGACUUCAUAUGCUCCCAAAUCAAUGGACAAACCACAAUAAAAUCUCUAUUCUAGAGAAACGGAGACAACAAAGAUUCCAAACCUCUAUGACCAUCAUCAUAUGUUAGUUCAUAAUACAAAUAUGCAUUAAAAAUAUAGUGAAAUAUUUUUCGAAUUUUUCUCAAAAUCUAUGUGUUAACUCUUACAAAAUAUUCAGCUUUUCGAUAAAUAGUUAAUAUACUGAAGCCUAUAAUCUUUAGUGUUAUUUUAAACUUUCUAACCACAUUCUACAUUUAUAUUAAUGUAUUCUAAACUCUCUUUCAUGGUACAUGGACAUCACUAUAGUUUUUAAAGGUUCCAAAACUCUCUGACCAUAAUCAUAUGUUAAUUCUUGAUACAACUAUGCAUUAAAACAAUAUUGUAAUUUCUUAAAAAAAUUUCUCAAAAUCUACGUAUUAACCACUUCAAAAUAUUCAAUUUUUCGAUAAAUGGUUAAUAUACUGAAGUCUAUAAUCUUUAGUGGUUUUUUAAAAUUUCUAACCACAUUCUACAUUUGAAUUAAUGUAUUCUAAACUCUCUUAUAUCGUACAUGGGCAUCAUUCUAUUUUUUUAUCGAUUAAUUUAUAAGACUUCAUAUGCUCCCCAAAUUAUUGGACAAACCACAAUAAAAUCCCUAUUCUAUAGAAACAGAGAUAACAAAGGUUCCAAACUUCUCCGGCCAUCAUCAUAUGUUAGUUCAUGAUACAACUAUGCAUUAAAACCAUAUUAUAAUAUUUUAUUAAUUUUUUUCAAAAUCUAUGUGUUAACCCCUACAAAAUAUUCAGUUUUUCGGUAAAUGGUUAAUAUACUGAAGCCUAUAAUCUUUAAUGUUUUUUUUUAAUUUCAAACCAUAUUUUAUAUUUGAAUUAAUUUAUUCUAAACUCUCUUAUAUGGUACCUCGACAUCGUUCAAUUCUAAAUGCUCUAUAUAAUGAAAUUUACACUCUUUAGUGUUGUUUAAAAAUUUCUAACCACAUUAUAUAUUUAUAUUAAUGUAUGAUAAACUAUCUUUCAUGGUACAUAGACUUCACAAUAUUUUUAAAAAAAUUUAAUUUAAAAAAUUUUAUAUACUACUAAAAUCUGUAAACUAAACACUAUAAAAUAUAUAUUCUCUAGAGAAACGGACACAACAUACAUUUCAAACCUUUUUGACCAUCAUCAUAUGUCUGUUAAGAAUGGAACUAUGCAAUAAAAAAAGACUGUCAAAUUUUUAGAUUUUCUCGAAAUCUGAAGGUUAACCCCUACAAAAUUGAGUUUUUUUCGGUAAUUGCAAUAUAUAUUGAAGUUUACAUUCUUUAGUACUGUUUAAAAAUUUCUAACCACAUUCUAAAUUUGUAUUAAUGUAUUGUAAACUCUCUAUCAUGGUACAUAGACAGCACUAUAGUUUUUAAAAAUUUAUUUCAUAAAUUUUAUAUACUACUUAAAUCAGUGGACUAAACACUAUAAAAUAUAUAUAUUCUCUAGAGAAACGGACACAACAUACAUUUCAAACCUCUUUGACCAUCAUCAUAUGUCUGUUAAGGAUGCAACUAUGAAUAAAAAAAGAUUGUCAAAUUUUUUUGAUUUUUCUCAAAAUGUGAAGGUUAACCCCUACAGAAUUGAGUUUUUUCGGUAAUUGCAAUACAUAUUGAAGUUUAUACUCUUUAAUGUUGUUUAAAAAUUUCUAACCACAUUCUACAUUUGUAUUAAUGUAUUGUAAACUCUCUUUCAUGGUACAUAGAAAUCACUAUAGUUUUUAAAAAUUUAAUUUAAUAAAUUUUAUAUACUACUUAAAUCAGUGGACUAAACACUAUAAAAUUUAUAUUCUCUAGAGAAACGAACACAACAUACAUUUCAAACCUCUUUGACCAUCAUAAUGUGUCUGUUAAAGAUGCAACUAUGCAAUAAAAAAAUAUUGUCAAAUUUUUUGAUUUUUUCUCAAAAUCUGAAGUUUAACCCCUACAAAAUUAAGUUUUUUCGGUAAUUGCAAUAUAUAUUGAACUUUACAUUCGUUAGUGCUGUUAAAAAUUUAUAACCAUAUUCUACAUUUGUAUUAAUGUAUUGUAAACUCUCUUUCAUGGUACAUAUACAUCCCUAUAGCUUUUAAAAAUUUAAUUUAAUAAAUUUUAUAUACUACUUAAAGACUUUAAAAUUUUUAUUUCUACUAUAAAGCUCUCUUUCAUGAACACAACUAAAUACUAUAAAUUAUAUAUUCUCUAAAGAAACGGACACAACAUACAUUUCAAACCUCUUUGACCAUCAUCAUAUAUCUGUUAAGGAUGCAACUAUGCAAUAAAAAAGAUUGUCAAAUUUUUUAAUUUUUUCUCAAAAUCUGAAGGUUAACCCCUACAAAAUUGAAUUUUUUUCGGUGAUUGCAAUAUAUAUUGAACUUUACAUUCUUUUGUGUUGUUUAAAAAUUUCUAACCAUAUUCUAAAUUUGUAUUAAUGUAUUGUAAACUCUCUUUCAUGGUACAUUGACAUCACUAUAGUUCUUAAAAUUUUAAUUUAAUAAAUUUAAUAUACUACUUAAAUCAGAGGAAAGAACACUAUAAAAUAUAUAUUCUCUAUAGAAAUAGACAAUAAAUACAUUUAAAACCUCAUUGACCAUCAUCAUAUGUGUGUUAAGGAUGCAACUAUGCAAUAAAAAAAGAUUGUCAAAUUUUUUGAUUUUUUUUCAAAAAUCUGAAGGUUAACCCCUACAAAAUUGAGUUUUUUUCGGUAAUUGCAAUAUAUAUUGAUGUUUACAUUCUUUAGUGCUGUUUAAAAACUUCUAACCACAUUCUACAUUUGUAUUAAUGUAUUGUAAACUCUCUUUCAUGGUACAUAGACAUCACUAUUGUUUUAAAAAAUUUAAUUUAAUAAAUUUUAUAUACUACUUAAAUCAGUGGACUAAACACUAUAAAAUUUAUUCUCUAGAGAAACGGACACAACAUACAUUUCAAACCUCUUUGAACAUCAUCAUAUGUCUGUUAAGGAUGCAACUAUGCAAUAAAAAAAGAUUGUCUAAUUUUUUGAUUUUCUUCUCAAAAAACUGAAAGUUAACCCCUACAAAAUUGAGUUUUUUCGGUAAUUGCAAUAUAUAUUGAUGUUUACAUUCUUUAGUGCUGUUUAAAAAUUUCUAACCACAUUCUACAUUUGUAUUAAUGUAUUGUAAACUCUCUUUCAUGGUACAUAGACAUCACUAUUGUUUUUAAAAAUUUAAUUUAAUAAAUUUUAUAUACUACUUAAAUCAGUGGACUAAACACAUUAAAAUAUAUAUUCUCAAGAGAAACGGACAAUAAAUACAUUUCAAACCUCUUUAACCAUCAUCAUAUAUCAGUUAAGGAUGCUACUAUGCAAUAAAAAACGAUUCUCAAAUUUUUUGGAUUUUUCUCAAAAUCUGAAGGCUAACCCCUACAAAAUUGAGUUUUUUUGGUAAUUGCAAUACAUGUUAAAGUUUACUUCUUUAGAGCUGUUUAAAUUUUUUUGUAACACAUUGUACAUUUGUAUUAAUGUAUUGUAAACUCUCUUUCAAGGUACAUCGACAUAACUAUAGUUUUCAAAAUUUUAAUUUAAUAAAUUUUAUAUACUACUUAAAUUAGUGGACUAAACACUAUAAAAUAUAUUUUCUCUAGAGAAACGGACAAUAAAUACAUUUCAAACCUCUUUUACCAUCAUCAUAUGUCUGUUAAGGAUGAACUAUGCAAUAGAAAAAGAUUCUCAAAUUUUGUUGAAUUUUUCUCAAAAUCUGAAAGCUAACCCCUACAAAAUUGAGUUUUUUCGGUAAUUGCAAUACAUAUUGAAUUUUACAUUCUUUAGAGCUGUUUAAAAAUUUCUAAACACAUUCUACAUUUGUAUUAAUGUAUUGUAAACUUUAUUUCAUGGUACAUAGACAUAACUAUAGUUUUUAAAAAUUUAAUUUAAUAAAUUUUAUGUACUACUUAAAUCAGUGGACUAAACACUAUAAAAUAUAUAUAUAUUCUCUAAAGAAACGGACACAACAUACAUUUCAAACCUCUUUGACCAUCAUAAUAUGCCUGUUAAGGAUGCAACUAUGCAAUAAAAAAAUCUGUCAAAUUUUUUUGAUUUUUUCUCAAAAUCUGAAGGUUAACCCCUACAAAAUUGAGUUUUUUUCGGUAAUUGCAAUAUAUAUUGAACUUUACAUUCUUUUGUGCUGUUUAAAAAUUUCUAACCAUAUUCUAAAUUUGUAUUAAUGUAUUGUAAACUCUCUUUCAUGGUACAUUGACAUCACUAUAGUUCUUAAAAUUUUAAUUUAGUAAAUUUUAUAUACUACUUAAAUCAGAGGAAAGAACACUAUAAAAUAUAUAUUCUCUAUAGAAAUAGACAAUAAAUACGUUUAAAACCUCUUUGACCAUCAUCAUAUGUGUGUUAAGGAUGCAACUAUGCAAUAAAAAAAGAUUGUCAAAUUUUUUGAUUUUUUUUUCAAAAAUCUGAAGGUUAACCCCUACAAAAUUGAGUUUUUUCGGUAAUUGCAAUAUAUAUUGACGUUUACAUUCUUAAAUGCUGUUUAAAAAUUUCAAAACACAUUCUAAAUUUGUAUUAAUGUAUUUUAAAAUCUCUUUCAUGGUACAUAGACAUCACUAUUGUUUUUAAAAAUUUAAUUUAAUACAUUUUAUAUACUACUUAAAUCAGUGGACUAAACACAAUAAAAUAUAUAUUCUCUAGAGAAACGGACAAUAAAUACAUUUCAAACCUCUUUGACCAUCAUCAUAUGUCAGUUAAGGAUGGUACUAUGCAAUAAAAAAAGAUUCUCAAAUUUUUUGAAUUUUUCUCAAAAUCUGAACGCUAACCCCUACAAAAUUGAGUUUUUUCAGUAAUUGCAAUACAUAUUAAAGUUUACUUCUUUAGAGCUGUUUAAAAAUUUCUAAACACAUUGUACAUUUGUAUUAAUCUAUUGUAAACUCUCUUUCAAGGUACAUAUACAUAACUAUAGUUUUCAAAAAUUUAAUUUAAUAAAUUUUAUAUACUACUUAAAUCAGUGGACUAAACACUAUAAAAUAUAUAUUCUCUAGUGAAACGGACACAACAUACAUUUCAAACCUCUUUGACCAUUAUCGUAUGACUGUUAAGGAUGCAACUAUGCAAUUAAAAAAGAUUGUCAAAAUUUUUGAUUUUUUCUCAAAACCUGAAGGUUAACCCCUACUGAGUUUUUUCGGUAAUUGCAAUAUAUAUUGACGUUUACAUUCUUAAAUGCUGUUUAAAAAUUUCAAAACACAUUCUAAAUUUGUAUUAAUGUAUUUUAAAAUCUCUUUCAUGGUACAUAGACAUCACUACAGUUUUUAAAAAAUUAAUUUAAAAUUUUUUAUAUACUACUUAAAUUAGUGGACUAAACACUCUAAAAUAUAUAUUCUCUAGAGAAACGGACAAUAAAUAAAUUUCAAACCUCUUUGACCAUUAUCAUAUGUCUCUUAAGGAUGCAACUAUAUAAUAAAAAAAGGAUUGUCAAAUUUUUUGAUUUUUUUCUCAAAAUCUGAAGGUUAACUCUUACAAAAUUGAGUUUUUUCGGUAAUUGCAAUAUAUAUUGAAGUUUACAUUCUUAAAUGCUGUUUAAAAAUUUCUAAACACAUUCUACAUUUGUAUUAAUGUAUUUUAAACUCUAUUUUAUGGUACAUAGACAUCACUAGAGUUAAAAAAAAUAAUUUAAUAAAUUUUAUAUACUACUUAAAUCAGUGGACUAAACACUAUAAAAUAUAUUUUCUCUAGAGAAACGGACAAUAAAUACAUUUCAAACCUCUUUGACCAUCAUCAUAUGUCUGUUAAGGAUGAACAAUGCAAUAAAAAAAGAUUCUCAAAUUUUUCGAAUUUGUCUCAAAAUCUGAAGGUUAACCCCUACAAAAUUGAGUUUUUUUUCGGUAAUUGCAAUACAUAUUGAAGUUUACAUUCUUUAGAGCUGUUUAAAAGUUUCUAAACUUAUUCUACAUUUGUAUUAAUGUAUUGUAAACUGUCUUUCAUGGUACAUAGACAUAAUUAUAGUUUUUAAAAAUUUAAUUUAAUAAAUUUUAUGUACUACUUAAAUCAGUGGACUAAACAGUAUAAAAUAUAUAUUCUCUAGUGAAACAGACUCAACAUACAUUUCAAACCUCUUUGACCAUCAUCAUAUGUCUGUUAAGGAUGCGACUAGGCAAUAAAAAAAUAUUGUCAAUUUUUUUGAUUUUUUCUCAAAACCUGAAGGUUAACCCCUACAAAAUUGAGUUUUUUCGGUAAUUGCAAUAUAUAUUGACGUUUACAUUCUUAAAUGCUGUUUAACAUGUUUCUUGAGCUGUCUAUAGCUUCCGGAAAACAAACAGCUGUCUUUCAUGCAUGUCCUUUUCUUCGAAUUCAUAAACUUUCGCGCAUCUUUCACCACAGUCCAGCCUUUCACCUGGCCCCGACAAAGCGGGCACAGCAGCUCUGCAGGUUUACCGCUCUUUUCAUCCUUGGCCUAGGCUUUUUUGUAUUUUCCCUCUCUUCUCAUCCUUGGCAUAGGCUUUUUUGUACUGCUCUAGACAGUUUGAGAACCGGUUUCCAGUGGCACACAUGUAAGGACGGCAACCUUUGUGGUAAGAUGAGCAGAGGAGGACAACCGAGUGGUGAGGGAUCUCAAGACAGACAGGGCAUGUUACACCCUUCCAAGCUUUCCCUUUCAGUGCCUUCUUCUUAUGUGGCUUUUCCUGGUUUUCUUUGCUUAUAGCCUUUUUAAUAUUCUUGAGAGCGUGUGGUCUUUCCCCAGAUCGAUAGUGGAGACCAUCUGCAUUAACUCUCCCCAUCUGCCGAACAACAUAAAAUAUUAAUACACUUCACAAAACUCUUCCAAAGCAAAGCAAUCAACAAUUCUAUACAAAGUUACAAUAGUACUGUUUGUUUCAAAAGAUACCAUCUAAGAGUAUAUGAUGAUCAAAUACCAAAACAAGGCAAGUAUUGUUAUGUUUCAAGAAUGCAAAGGAGAGAGACUAUCCUACAACCUCAUAGUUCUAUAUGAUUAUUUUGAUAAGGUGAAAUAUCCUUACCUUUUCCUACAAACCAUCCUACCAAAAAACCCACCCCAUCUGAUAAUGCCAGCAGAGCUUUAUCGGCGGGAGAAAAAACCACAACUUUCGAGGUUCUCACCGACAGCAUUGGGCUCAGAAUGCAAAACAAGUAUUUCAUUUCAAUAUGGGUAUGAAACUCAAAGCCCAAAUUUAACGGGUAAACCAUUGGUUGUAGUGUAGUUUCAGUAAGCAUCGGAUGAAAUUGUAUUGCUAUUAAGAUCUAAUCAUGUCAAAAAGAAUUCAAAACUUUUCAUAGUUUAUAUUUUAGAAUCAAGGUUAUCUUUUUUUUUUAUUUUUUUUAACACUGAUUAGAUUAACUUUAAGAGAAACCAUGGAGGUUCAGACAAAGUACCAGCCAUAACGGCCAAGGGGAUGCGAUCCCAACAAAGAGCAGAGUAGUCAAAAGAAAGAAACACAAGGCUCCAAUAUUUGAAAAGAUGUCAGUAGACACCUUGAGAGCACAACUAAAAACACGCGACAUCGAGAGAUUAGAUGCGAGAUUCCUUAGUAAUCAGUUGGUGGUUGCAGACCAAGGAGAGGGCUUCUUUUGUUAUAGUGGAUGGGUACUGGUGGUGGCCUGUGUGUGAUAACUCCAUUAUCGUAUUUUGUCCCCUGGAAAGAAAAGAAAAGAAAAGAACAAGAAUCAGAAUAGUUUUAUGUAGAGAACUUGUGUGAAUGAGAUGAGGCAAAAAAAAAAACAAAAUGUCACCUCCAUACUCUUUCUUCACGUCAUCAAUGUAGCAAUCAGGCAAUGUAAAGACUACUCCGGGCAAUCCUGUUCACAGGUGAGAGAACUAAUUGUCAAACAAGUUUUAUUUUCUUCAAAAAAAAAAAUCAAGGAAAAUAAAACAAAAGUUACCCUUGAACUUGUCUGAUUCUUCUUCAGUCAUAAUCGCUUGGAAGCCUUUGUAGGUGGUUGUACUACAAGCAUAGAUCUUCUUCUUUGCGUCUUCCAAGCUGUAUAAAAAAAAACAACAACAAAAAGCUUAAAAGUAUUUUAUCACUCUUGUCUUAGUUUCUAAACACUAAAGCAUCAUCAAAGUAAAUCGAACCUGAUACCAAGCCCAGCGGCACAAGUGUUCUCGUAGGUAGAGACCAUUUCCUCGGGAGACAAAGGAUUGUCCUUGGGGAAAUCCAUGGCGAUGAGCCAGUGCUUGUAGUCACACCCUUCGAAGAGAACAGUAUUUUCCGUGAUUUCAUCGCCGUCGUCGUAAAGCUUGUACUUGCUCGUCGAGAACAGCCUCGCCGGAGCUCGAGUUGCUUCCGUUAAACUCCCUCUCUUCAGCACCGUGGACACAGAUGCAAUGGAGGAGGGCGACGGAGAGAGUGCGUAACCUGAAGCGGAGGUGAGUGAGGCUCCUCCGAGGUUGGAGGUUGGAGCAACGGAGGACGACGACGGAGAGAGUGAGUAACAUGAAGCGGUGGUGAGAAAGGCUCGUCCGAGGUUGGAGGAGGACGACAGAGAGAGUGAGAAACGUGAAGUGGUGGC
rnacentral:lncRNA from 1 species